AACGAACGCUGGCGGCGCGUCUUAAGCAUGCAAGUCGAACGGCAAGAUUUUGUAGCUUGCUACAAAAUCCUAGAGUGGCGGACUGGUGAGUAACACGUGGGUGACGUACCUUUCAGAUGGGGAUAGCUACUAGAAAUAGUAGAUAAUACCGAAUACGACCACAGGGGUUAGAGACCUGUGAGGAAAGGAGCUAAGGCUAUGCUGAAGGAUUGGCCCGCGGCCCAUUAGCUAGUUGGUGUGGUAAAGGCGAUACCAAGGCGAUGAUGGUAUCCGGCCUGAGAGGGUGAAUUCGGACACAUUUGGGACUGAGAUACGGCCCAGACUCCUACGGGAGCAGCAG
rnacentral:rRNA from 1 species